GAUGAACGCUGGCGGCGUGCCUAAUACAUGCAAGUCGAGCGAAUUGACAGAGGUGCUUGCACCUCUCGAUUUUAGCGGCGGACGGGUGAGUAACACGUGGGUAACCUACCUAUAAGACUGGGAUAACUUCGGGCAACCGGAGCUAAUACCGGAUAAUGUUUAGCUUCGCAUGAAGCAAUAGGGAAAGACGGUUCUGGUGUCACUUAUAGAUGGACCUGCGGUGUAUUAGCUAGUUGGUGAGGUAACGGCUCACCAAGGCAACGAUACAUAGCCGACCUGAGAGGGUGAUCGGCCACACUGGGACUGAGACACGGCCCAGACUCCUACGGGAGGCAGCAGUAGGGAAUCUUCCGGAAUGGACGAAAGUCUGACGGAGCAACGCCGCGUGAGUGAAGAAGGUUUUCGGAUCGUAAAACUCUGUUGUAAGGGAAGAACAAGUACGUUAGUAACUGAACGUACCUUGACGGUACCUUACCAGAAAGCCACGGCUAACUACGUGCCAGCCGCCGCCGUAAAAC
rnacentral:rRNA from 1 species